AAGCACCAUAGCAUUUACUUUUGCCCUGACAUAAAAACAGGAGACCUUACUAUGAGUGGGAGAACUUGUGAAGAAGAAUACAACGUGAGCCAGCUUCCAACCCACCUCUUCCUGGAUGCCAGGGGCAUGUCAAGCUGCAGAAAGCCAGAUUUCAAGCAGUCCUGUCCAAGUCGGAGGGAAAGACGAGAGAACCAGAAGGUCCUUGAAGAAGCCCAUUCACCCUCGCCAAGCCCAGGACGACAGGCUCGGAAUCAGGCACGCCAUCAGGAGGUUCACCGUUUCUCUCCUUCUCCCCACCCACCUUGCGAGACGUAU